rnacentral:rRNA from 1 species
CUGCAGCCCGAGUGGUGGUCGAUUUUAUUGAGCCUAAAGCGUCCGUAGCCGGACUAGUAAACCCUUGGGUAAAUUGGGCAGCUUAACUGUCCAAAUUCCGAGGGGACUGCUAGUCUUGGGACCGGGAGAGGUCAGAGGUACUCAAGGGGUAGGGGCUAAAUCCUGUAAUCCUUUGGGGACCACCAGUGGCGAAGGCGUCUGACUAGAACGGAUCCGACGGUAAGGGACGAAACCCUGGGGCGCGAACCGGAUUAGAUACCCGAGAGUCC